AAAUUACUCCCUCCGUCCCAAAAUUCUUGUCUUAGAUUUGUCUAGAUACAGAUGUAUCAAGUCACAUUUUAGUAUUAGAUACAUCCGUAUCUAGACAAAUCUAAGACAAGAAAUUUGGGACAGAGGGAGUAGUUG
rnacentral:pre_miRNA from 1 species